rnacentral:rRNA from 1 species
ACGGGUGAGUAAUGCCUAGGAAUCUGCCUGGUAGUGGGGGACAACGUUUCGAAAGGAACGCUAAUACCGCAUACGUCCUACGGGAGAAAGCAGGGGACCUUCGGGCCUUGCGCUAUCAGAUGAGCCUAGGUCGGAUUAGCUAGUUGGUGAGGUAAUGGCUCAUCAAGGCGACGAUCCGUAACUGGUCUGAGAGGAUGAUCAGUCACACUGGAACUGAGACACGGUCCAGACUCCUACGGGAGGCAGCAGUGGGGAAUAUUGGACAAUGGGCGAAAGCCUGAUCCAGCCAUGCCGCGUGUGUGAAGAAGGUCUUCGGAUUGUAAAGCACUUUAAGUUGGGAGGAAGGGUUGUAGAUUAAUACUCUGCAAUUUUGACGUUACCGACAGAAUAAGCACCGGCUAACUCUGUGCCAGCAGCCGCGGUAAUACAGAGGGUGCAAGCGUUAAUCGGAAUUACUGGGCGUAAAGCGCGCGUAGGUGGUUUGUUAAGUUGGAUGUGAAAUCCCCGGGCUCAACCUGGGAACUGCAUCCAAAACUGGCAAGCUAGAGUAUGGUAGAGGGUGGUGGAAUUUCCUGUGUAGCG